AGCGGCGGACGGGUGAGUAACACGUGGGUAACCUGCCCAAGAGACUGGGAUAACACCUGGAAACAGAUGCUAAUACCGGAUAACAACACUAGACGCAUGUCUAGAGUUUGAAAGAUGGUUCUGCUAUCACUCUUGGAUGGACCUGCGGUGCAUUAGCUAGUUGGUAAGGUAACGGCUUACCAAGGCAAUGAUGCAUAGCCGAGUUGAGAGACUGAUCGGCCACAUUGGAACUGAGACACGGCCCAAACUCCUACGGGAGGCAGCAGUAGGGAAUCUUCCACAAUGGACGAAAGUCUGAUGGAGCAACGCCGCGUGAGUGAAGAAGGGUUUCGGCUCGUAAAGCUCUGUUGGUAGUGAAGAAAGAUAGAGGUAGUAACUGGCCUUUAUUUGACGGUAAUUACUUAGAAAGUCACGGCUAACUACGUGCCAGCAGCCGCGGUAAUACGUAGGUGGCAAGCGUUGUCCGGAUUUAUUGGGCGUAAAGCGAGUGCAGGCGGUUCAAUAAGUCUGAUGUGAAAGCCUUCGGCUCAACCGGAGAAUUGCAUCAGAAACUGUUGAACUUGAGUGCAGAAGAGGAGAGUGGAACUCCAUGUGUAGCGGUGGAAUGCGUAGAUAUAUGGAAGAACACCAGUGGCGAAGGCGGCUCUCUGGUCUGCAACUGACGCUGAGGCUCGAAAGCAUGGGUAGCGAACAGGAUUAGAUACCCUGGUAGUCCAUGCCGUAAACGAUGAGUGCUAAGUGU
rnacentral:rRNA from 1 species